CAGAUGCCGGACGCCGCGCUCAGGACACAGACCCCACUCUGCAGCAGCCUGCCGCUGCCGGCAGCCAGGGCCUCCUUCCAACUCCAGCGCAAAUUUUUCGAACGUAAGAGAAGAAUACAGUCAUUAUCGGAGGUGGAGACAUUCAGAAGUUGUUCUUAAUCAGAGUGAAGCUUGUGCUUUGGAAAGUCAGCCUCACGCCUCAGCACGCACAGCAGCUGGUUCUCCAGGUUCCUCCUGGAUGAAGAAUUAGUUUCCAGCCCCCCUUUACCCUCUGACAAGUUGGAAGGAUACGUCAGCAUCUCUUAAAAGACUAGGAAGGCUCAUUUUAUACAACCUGAAAGAGCUUAAAAGUUUCUGGUUGCCACAAGCAUAUCUUUCUUUUCUGCACAUCCAAGAGACAGCUGUGCCCUGCUGGGAUAGAUUUUCCAAACAAAAAUACCCGGAGCAGCAGUUUGGGAAAUAUGCCUUCAGCGGCGCUCCACAGAUGGGGUUUCCGGAAGCACAGUACUAGUAUUACUGUUUGCUUAUAAAUGGACGUAUUCACUGCACAAAGACAAAUGUUCUCAUGCUGAGCAGAAGAGAGAUCUGGUGUUGCCUGGUCCUGCCGGAGCCCUCCGGCCCAUCACCUCCUGCCAGCCUUCCAUGCGUACCUUGCCAUGAAAAGGGAAAGAAGCUGUUUCCAAAUUCGUGAUGAAUCUUACAAUCAAUGGUAUCUGCACAAGUGUCUGUACUUUCCAAAUACAUUGAAUAAGCUCCUUUUAACUUCUUUCUUUCUUUACUGAGACCCCACAAGAGAGUGUGUUAAUCACAUUAAUAUUAUUGGUACUAGAACCGUGACCUAAGCUUACAAGUCACCUUCAAACAAAUUUUAUGCAGCCAAGAAUUAGGCUUUAACUGCCACCAUAAAGCUUGCCUUAAGGGAAAACACUCUUGAUAAAAAUCUAAAUACACGCAAAUCAAAGAGUCUACUUUUCCACUGCAAUUAUUUGUCUCAGUUUCUCAGUAGUAACUAAUCUGCUAAUUAGAACUAACAAACCUUGGAUUCUGAAAUGGACUUCCAAAGUUUUUGUGCAACUAAAUGACCAGCAAUAAAGGACCUGGCUGUAAUUGCAAAGCUGAAUUAUUAACACAUGCUCUUCUUUUCUUUAUUCUGGAAAAUGUAAAGUUUUGCCCCAAUUUAGGAUGCCUAAUCAGCUGUUAUAAAAGUUUCUUGAUCAAAAAAUUGGUUUAUAUUUUGGAUUUUAUCUGAAAUAAUAUAAAUAUGACUUGGUAUAAUGAAAGAGUAAUGAUUGAAAUAAUUGACAUUAACCAUGAUUCCAUAGAUUUGAGGGUCUGCCUUGUUUUGUAAACCUGGUCAUCAAUUCUCCUGAACGUUAUCAGUUAAAAAACAGAAAAAAGAUAUGACCAUUUUACAAAGACAACUAUCCAACUAAGGACCUUGGGUUCUGAAUCAAAUGUCUCUCCUCCAGUAUAAGAAAGACCGAUCCAGGUAGAAGUGUCUGUAUGAAGAGACAUACAUAUAUAAAUUAAGAGACAUACAUAUAUAAAUGCUGUGAUUUUUGCUAUAUAUGUAAAUGUAAUAAAAACUGUAUCAUUCUUGGGGUAUCGUUAACCAUUAAAGUCCAAAUUCAGACUUGACCGAGUGAAGAGAAAUCGUAAGCAAUUAUCCAGCAGUGGGAAAAGACAGAACUCGGCACUGCAAAAUCUGGGGUGAAGUCCCUACUCAGUCCCUUAUUAACUCAGAGAACUUGGGUUAGUCACCUAAUCCCUCUAAGGCUCAUUUUCCACAUCUGUCAAUUAAGAAUAAUAUGUUGCUUGAGAGGGUGUUUGGGGAUUCA
ensembl:lncRNA